CUUGCGCCAAUGCGCGAAAGCGUGACGCAGCGACGCCGCGUGGGGGAUGAAGGCCUUCGGGUUGUAAACCCCUUUCGCCAGGGACGAAGCGAGAGUGACGGUACCUGGAGAAGAAGUCCCGGCUAACUACGUGCCAGCAGCCGCGGUAACACGUAGGGGACGAGCGUUGUCCGGAUUCAUUGGGCGUAAAGCGCGCGUAGGCGGUCGUGCAAGUCGGUUGUGAAAUCCCGGGGCUCAACCCCGGGACUGCGUCCGAAACUGCGCGACUGGAGGCAGGUAGGGGAGAUCGGAAUUCCUGGUGUAGCGGUGAAAUGCGCAGAUAUCAGGAGGAACACCGGUGGCGAAGGCGGAUCUCUGGGCCUUGCCUGACGCUGAGGCGCGAAAGCUAGGGGAGCGAACAGGAUUAGAUACCCUGGUAGUCCUAGCCGUAAACGUUGGGUGCUAGGUGUGGGCGGACAUCGACCCCGUCCGUGCCGAAGCUAACGCAUUAAGCACCCCGCCUGGGGAGUACGGCCGCAAGGCUA
rnacentral:rRNA from 1 species